AACGAACGCUGGCGGCAUGCCUAACACAUGCAAGUCGAACGCUAUUUAUAGAGUGGCGCACGGGUGAGUAACGCGUGGGAACCUGCCGUUUUUCUGCGGGAUAACGGUUGGAAACGACCGCUAAUACCGCAUACGCCCUACGGGGGAAAGGUCCGCCGGAAAAAGAGGGGCCCGCGUCUGAUUAGCUUGUUGGUAGGGUAAUGGCCUACCAAGGCGACGAUCAGUAGCUGGUCUGAGAGGAUGAUCAGCCACACUGGGACUGAGACACGGCCCAGACUCCUACGGGAGGCAGCAGUGGGGAAUAUUGGACAAUGGGGGCAACCCUGAUCCAGCAAUGCCGCGUGUGUGAUGAAGGCCUUAGGGUUGUAAAGCACUUUCACUGGUGAAGAUGAUGACGGUAACCAGAGAAGAAGCCCCGGCUAACUUCGUG
rnacentral:rRNA from 1 species